rnacentral:rRNA from 1 species
AGCGAACGCUGGCGGCAGGCCUAACACAUGCAAGUCGAACGAUCCUUCGGGAUAGUGGCGGACGGGUGAGUAACACGUGGGAACGUACCUUUAGGUUCGGGAUAACUCAGGGAAACUUGAGCUAAUACCGGAUGUGCCCUUCGGGGGAAAGAUUUAUCGCCUUUAGAGCGGCCCGCGUUAGAUUAGCUAGUUGGUGAGGUAAAGGCUCACCAAGGCUCCGAUCUAUAGCUGGUCUGAGAGGAUGAUCAGCCACACUGGGACUGAGACACGGCCCAGACUCCUACGGGAGGCAGCAGUGGGGGAUCUUGCGCAAUGGGCGAAAGCCUGACGCAGCCAUGCCGCGUGAAUGAUGAAGGUCUUAGGAUUGUAAAAUUCUUUUAGCAGGGACGAUAAUGACGGUACCUGCAGAAAAAGCCCCGGCUAACUUCGUGCCAGCAGCCGCCGUAA